AGAAUCAACGCUGGCGGCGUGCCUAACACAUGCAAGUCGAACGCGGUUACCUCGCAAGGGGUGACUGAGUGGCAAACGGGUGAGUAACGCGUGGGUGACCUACCUUCGAGUGGGGGAUAACGUUUCGAAAGGAACGCUAAUACCGCAUGACAUCCUGCCUUUGGACAGGCGGAGAUCAAAGCCGGGGAUCGCAAGACCUGGCGCUUAAAGAGGGGCCCGCGUCCGAUUAGCUAGUUGGUGGGUAACGGCUCACCAAGGCGACGAUCGGUA
rnacentral:rRNA from 1 species